GCUCCGGUGGCCUAUUGGUUAGUGUGUCUGCCUCUGAUGCGGGAGGUUGUGGGUUUGAUCCCCAAUCGAGUCA